rnacentral:tRNA from 1 species
GCGGAAGUAGUUCAGUGGUAGAACACCACCUUGCCAAGGGGGGGUCGCGAGUUCGAACCUCGUCUUCCGCUCCA